rnacentral:rRNA from 1 species
UACAGAGGUCCCAAGCGUUGUUCGGAUUCACUGGGCGUAAAGGGUGCGUAGGCGGUCGGGUAAGUCUGAUGUGAAAUCUCGAAGCCUAACUUCGAAACUGCAUUGGAUACUAUUCGGCUAGAGGAGUGGAAGGGAGACUGGAAUGCUCGGUGUAGCAGUGAAAUGCGUAGAUAUCGAGCGGAACACCAGUGGCGAAGGCGAGUCUCUGGACACUUCCUGACGCUGAGGCACGAAAGCCAGGGGAGCAAACGGG